GGGGCAAUGGUUUAGUGGUAUAAUACUCGCUUAGGGAGAAGUGCCAAUCGAUUCCGGUAAAACGGAAUGAAACUUCGCAAACUGCGAGUGGUCCCGAGUUCGAUUCUCGGUUGCCCCC
rnacentral:tRNA from 1 species